ensembl:lncRNA
CUCUCAGGCUACAGAUACAGGAUCCAGUACAUAAUGCUCAAAGCAUAAACCCAGAUCAAAUCUCGCUGCAGCAGCAGUAUACAAAGGAGUAGAGAAAAAGCAUGCUGACCGUGCAUUGAAGAGAAGGCACUCGAAAGCCCCUGUUUACCCUUGUUUCAGGCACAAGUACAGUUCUUAGUGCAUGAGUGAUGCAAAAAUAACUGGAGGAUUGCAUCAAGCAUUCAUCCACGGCAAUUUAAAUAAAGAUGAGCUGACGUGAUGGAGAUUAACUGCACUGUAAGAAUGCCUGCAGUGCUCAGCAGAAUGAGGGGCAAGGGAGAAAAAGGACAAGGGGGGGAGUUACACUUCUAGCAAAAGGACAUAUCACUUAGUCCAGCAAAUCAGCAUGCCCAAAAUUUCAUAUUACUGACGUAGAUCUGGCUCUGGCAUGUCUGCAUCAUGCUGUGUAGGCAUUAGGUGCUCUGCAUGUUUAACAUGUGUCUGUAGUCCAGGAGGAAAAUUCUUUCAGUAUAUGAAAGGGAGCUACAGGAAGAAGGGGACAGACUCCUUAGCAAGAUCUGUGGUGACAGAACAAGGGGAAAUGGUUUCAUGCUUAAAGGGGGGAUAUUUAGUUUAGACAUAAGGAAAAAGUCUUUUACAGUGAGGGUGGUGAGACACUGGAACCGGUUGCCCAGAGAGGUGGUGGAUGCCCCAUCCCUGGAGACUGUCAAGGCCAAGCUGGACCAGGUUUUGGGCAACCUGAUCUACCUAUGGAUGUCCCUGUUCACUGCAGAGGAGUUGGACUAGGUGACCUUUAAAGGUCCUUUCUAACUCUAAGGAUUCUAUGAUUCUUCCCCAGAUAGUUACUGGUAGUCUUACUGGGUCAGAAUGAGCCAGGGUUGCCUGCACAUCACUGCUGGCAGAAUUUUUCACCUGAAUCUAUAAGCCAACUCUUUUUCAUUUAGAAAGCCAGGGAGAAUUCGGUCAGGCUCUGAAGAAUGAGGAGCUUCCACAGCUGCUGCCCUCUAGCCUUUAUGGACAUCAGAGAGACUGCACGGCCCUAGUAAGUCAAUGGAGAUACUUCAUGUAUGCUCGUCUCAAGAAAAGUAGAAUCUGUUUCCACUUCUGGUUUAUGCAAUGGAAAGUUCCAAAUGCUGAAGAAGCUGGGCCACUUGGAUCAAAGAUAGCCAUCUGAGACUGAAGGUUUUCAUCCAUUCUUUCCAAAUGUUUUCACUGCCUCCACUCUUGAUUUCUGUAUGCUUUGACUUUGUAUCCUUUUUGUAAGCGAGCAGAGAUUUGAUAGAAGUGUCUCACUGGCUGCAUCCAAAACUGGAAAUAGAUGGUAUGGGAUCAAUGCUGAGGUGAUAAGAAACAGCAUUUUUCCUCCUUACAUUUCUGACCAAAGAACGGUAAGGAGAAAAAUAUCCUUUAUCAAGCCAGAUCUUUUGUGGAAAAUAUAAACUAGACCAGUGUUUCAGAAAGAUUUCGUCUCGCUUCAAUGCUACCUUAACUGUAUUUUAACAACUUAGUUUGAGAAAGGUGAGAAAAGUUAGUUGGUAUCAGCUUAAAGACACCCCACAUUUUUAAAGCUAACCAAAUAACUAAGAGAAGGCGUAUUUACCGUGCAGUUCUCCUCAUUUUCAGUCACCACCAUCUACUUCACGCAAUUUGGAGCCCAGCAGCUGGAAGCUCGGCCUGUGUUCU